AAACUUCUCCACUCUCUUCUCUCACAAUACUUAUCUUCCUCCUCUCUACCUCCUUCGCUCUCCGUUUAGGGAUAUGGUUAUUAGUCAAGUACCACCUAAGUUUCCGACAAGGAGAGCUUGUACUUCCUUUGUUUCGAGCAAGUUUGCCAUGGGUGUCAACCGUCAAAUUCUAAUAAUAUUUGAUGUGUAUGGCUUCGACAGCGGAUAGAAGCGUUGUGAGCAGCUUCGUUGCUGCGAAAUUGGUGUCAACCGUUUUGUUGUUUGAGGUCUGGGAUGCCAUAAAAUGGCAUCUUAAGAAACGUGAAUUUAAGAGUUUGGAUCCAAACCCAAAUCCCACGUUUGAAUGCUUUUUAUGGCCAAUUGAACAGCCUAAAUGCGGCUCUGUACUUAGCCAUCAGACUGAAGCAUUCAAUUUUGGAAGCUAUUUAUAACCGACUGAACAGUGAUGAAGCACUAUCUUUCAUUGAAGCAUUUCACUCGCUUCUUGGUGAACUCGCCUUGUUUCCAACUGCAUUAAUUGGUUUACACUUCCAAGUCUUGGGUGUCUCGCCACUUCAUACACAUUUUCCUAUCAUCUUGCUUUUCUUCAUGGCUACAAUCGUCCAUCACAUUGCAUAUAUGGGGAUAAAACUACAACCUCAAGAUGCUGGAUACCUUCCCAUAUUGAGGUUCAUUUGUUUGGUUUCUGGAAUUAUUGCUAUUGAGCUACUCUUUGCAAUAAUCAUCUCUCCCUUUUGGCUAUUCAUGGUUAAUUUAUGCCCAAUCCUGAUCCUAGGGGUACAUCAUUUGUACCAACUAAUUUAUCAGUGUGUUUACUACACAGCUAAUUUAGGACUUGAUGCAGUCUGUAGCUUGUUUAAAAAGAUUUGUCAAUUAGUUGAACAGAUAUAUGAUUGGGUCCAACAAAAAUUCUAGCAAGCAGCUUCUCAAGCAUUUUCUUAAAGGGAACAGGAAGACAAUGGUACGUAUUAGAUGGAAAAAAAUUGUCUCAAUGACAUGUUAUUGUUAAUUAGACAUAAAGUAAGCAAAAUUUUCUCUUUCACA